UGAAGCAUUCAGUGAUCAAUCGCCCUGUUC
rnacentral:piRNA from 1 species